rnacentral:rRNA from 1 species
GGACUACAGGGGUAUCUAAUCCUGUUUGCUCCCCACGCUUUCGUGCCUGAGCGUCAGUGUUAACCCAGGGGGCUGCCUUCGCCAUCGGUGUUCCUCCACAUCUCUACGCAUUUCACUGCUACACGUGGAAUUCCACCCCCCUCUGCCACACUCUAGCCUUGUAGUUUCAAACGCAGUUCCCAGGUUAAGCCCGGGGAUUUCACAUCUGACUUACAAAACCGCCUGCGCACGCUUUACGCCCAGUAAUUCCGAUUAACGCUUGCACCCUACGUAUUACCGCGGCUGCUGGCAC